UUCAUUUCUGGAGUGAAAGGGGCAACUUUCGGGUGCAUAGAGAGGGAGAGACAAGCCCUUCUCAAGUUUAAAGAAGACCUUAUUGAUGACUUUGGUCUUCUUUCAACCUGGGGAAGUGAAGAAGAGAAGAGGGAUUGCUGCAAAUGGAGGGGAGUUGGAUGCAACAAUCGAACUGGUCAUGUUACUCAUCUCGAUCUUCACUGGGAGAAAAGCGGCAAGUAUUUAACUGGUAAGAUCAGUAAUUCAUUACUGGAGUUGCAGUAUUUGAGUCACCUGAAUCUAAGUGGAAGCCAUUUUCAGUAUCCAAGUUUCGUGAAUACAAGGGGAAGCGAUUUUCCAGGGAGUCCUUUUGAAGGGAGUACUUUUCCAUAUUUCAUUGGAUCUCUAAAAAAACUAAGAUACCUUGAUCUCUCCUUUACCGGUGUUGUUGGAACUCAGCUUUGGAAUCUCUCAAGAUUACAGAAUAUUUUGACUUGAGUAGAAACAACCUCAGUCAAGCUACUGACUGGAUGGAAAUGGUUAACAAGGUCCCUUUUUUAAAAGUCUUACGGUUAAGUGGAUGUGAUCUUUCAAAUAGCAGUCUUCCCUCUCUUUCUUUUACGAAUUCUUCUAAAUCCCUAGCUGUCAUUGAUCUCUCUUACAACAAUAUUGCUUCUUCAACAUUCAAUUGGUUGUCCAAAUUUAGUAACAGCCUUGUUGAUCUUGAUGUUAGUUGGAAUUGGGUUGAUGUUAAUAGGAAUUGGGAUAACAGUUCUGAAAACCUUGAUUGGCUUUCCUAUCUUUCUUCAUUCUCCGGGUGAAAAUCAAGAUCAGUAACAUGACCAGUUCGAUUGUUGCAUCCAACUCCUUUCUAUUUGCAGCAAUCCCUCUUCUCUUCUACGCUCCCCAAGUUGAAAGAUUGGCGCCCAUUUACAUAUAGAAUUCCUUCUGCAUGGAAAUGGCAAAGUGCUAUUUUAAUGGGCCGUAGGCUGGCCAACCUGCAAUGGUUGAGCCGAGUCUAGCCCAAAUCUUUUUAAAAAAACAACAAAAAUCAAAUUUAUUAAGCCAAUCUCGGGCCAACCUUUUUUGGGGGUUGAAUUCAGCACUACAAGAAUGGGCUCCACCUAGUCAUCUAGGCCGCUUAGCCUACAUAUUUAAUAUUAUUUAAUUAUAAUAAUAUAAUAUUAUAUUUAUAAAAAAUAAAAACAAAUUCAAAAAAAAUUUCAAGGGGCAUUUUAAAAUAUUUUUUAUUUUCUCGCGUGUUUUUCUACCAAUUUUACUUAAUAUUGAGUUAUAUUUUUACAUUGUAAGAUACAAAUUUGAUAUUAAAAUACCUGAUUUUCUCCAAAAUCUCUCUAAAAAAUUCAAAAACAAAUAUCAAAACUUUUAAAUUAAUUUCCCUUUUAAAAAAAGAAAAAAAUAUUUUGUUUUCAUGCAUACGGCCAAAUCCUAAAAUUUUUUCAAGCAUAUUUUAAUGAAAAAACAAAAAUUGCAUCGUUCUUAUAUUUUAAAAUACAAAAUGAAUAUCGUAAUCAUUUUAUGAUUAUCCAUUAAGGUUUGACUAAAAUGUCAAAAACCCUUUACCAAUAAUUUUUUAUUAGGGUCUAGGUGUAAACUUUACUAUAUGUGGGGUGUAAAACUACAUAAUAGAGUAAACCCUCAUGUAUUAAAGAUACAAGGUGUGAAAUAAAUGCGAUACUAAAUUUUGAACUUUUGAACACUUAGAAUUAAACCUAACGAAGUAGAAACUAUUUCACAUAGAGAGAUUUGUCUUAGACUUUAGAAAAGACCAACGAAUAUAAACCCGACCUAAAAAAACAAUCAAACAACAAUGCUACUUACCUUAGAUAGGUGGGGUGAUGCGUCUUCUCCUUGCAUAACCAGUCCUUUACUCAGGCUAUUAUAAACCAUAGGUUCCUAAUAACCAUAAUACUAGGUGAUGACUCCUGAAUCUUAAUCAUAAUCUUAUGAGUAAACCUAAACCCAUUUCCUUUCCCAACACACACCUCUCAGGAGGCACGAAAAGCUCGUCAGCGGCAUCGACAUCGCACCUGCGACACAGUAUACUUGCAAAGGGUUGCUAGACCCAAACUGCUCUACGACACACAAUAUACUUGCACAGGGUUGCAAGACCCAAACUGCUAGGGUCUGGUAACCGUGCCAGAUCCAUGCUCCUAUUUUUAUAAAUAUAGAAAUUUACUUAUAAUUAUUCUAAAAAUAUACUUAUUUUGUAUUUUCAUCUGUCUUUUUAACCAAAAAUAUUUUUAUUUUUUCUAUAUUUCUUUCUUCUAUUUUGGGAUAUUAACCACACACAUCCCUAAAAUUCACUCAAUUUUUUUUAUUAAUCUCUAACUUUAGUGAAGAAAUCAUCUACAAAAUUACACAAAUUAAGAUAAUCCAAAGGACAGUAAGUCUUUUACAUAUACAAUGUUUUCUUUUUCUACAACAUAAUGUAUCAAUUCAAAAGUUCUCUUAUGAUCAUAUAUUUCAAAAUUUUGCAUAUAUUAAUAGUUAUAAUGUAGAAUAAACUCUCAUUGUAACAAGCUUUGACAAUUAAAUCAUGCAACAACAUCUCAAAUUUUAAAAAAAGCAUGAAUCUUUUAAAAAACCGUCCAACAUUUGGAUGGAAACAUAAAAUGAAUAUUUUACAUAUACAAUGUUUUCUUUUUCUACAACAUAAUGUAUCAAUUCAAAAGUUCAAAUGUUUUCUCUUAUGAUCAUAUAUUUCAAAAUUUUGCAUAUAUUAAUAGUUAUAAUAUAGAAUAAACUCUCAUUGUAACAAACUUUGACAAUUAAAUCAUGCAACAUCUCAAAUUUAAAAAAAAACAUGAAUUUUUUAAAAAACUGUCCAACAUUUGGAUGGAAACAUAAAAUGAAUAUUUUCAUCCACAAUGCAUACAAAAAAGAGAAGUUUAUUUUUGAAGACUUGAAAUAAAUCACUCUGAAAUCAACUUUUUUUUUUUUUGCAUUCUGUCCUCUUCGAAUAUAAAAAAUUUAUAAAAUAAGUUGCAAAAAAAAAAAGAGUUCGUAGUUAAGUUCUACUGCAUAUGAAUGAAAAUUCAUGGUUGAAUGAGGCAGUGCUUGAUUUUGCAGUCCAUUCAUGCUUUUGAAAUUUUUAAAAUUUUUUGACCUAUGCACAUGAGUCUGACAUUGUUGCUAGAUCCAGACGCGAGUCUGGCAACAAUGUUAGACCCAAACAUGGUUGCUAGACCCAAAUAUGGUUGCCAGACCAAGGCGCUUGGGCCUGACGUCUUUGUCAGACCCAAGGCGUUUGGGUCUAGAAUGGUUGAUAGACCCAAGACUCUUGAGUCUUGAAUGGUUGAUAAUGCUUCUGGCGUGGUUGCGGCAACCAAGCCAGACCCAAGAUGCUAAAGUGGUAGAGAAAAAGCAAUGAUUGAGAAGAAAAAAAAAGCAAAGAAACGUCUCACAAAAAGAUAAGAAAUUGAAAAUGAAACUACUAUUACAAUCCGCAGUAAAAAGUCUCUUAAUCUACAGUGAUUUCCCAGACCAUUUAGUUUUUGUUAUAAUUAAUUUUCCUAAAAGAUGCUAGAAGGUUUUUUUUUUUUUUUAAAUAAUGGUUUCUUAAUUAUUUUUAUUCUUGUUUAGUUUAGAAAAAUUUUCUUUUAUUUAUAGUAUUUUUAUUUUUUCCCAUUUAAUUAAAAAUUUUGUUCUUUCUUAUUUAAUUUAGUCAUAAGACUAGUAUAAAUAGCAUUGUUUAGUUUAUAUUUUAUAAGACUGCCUAAAAAGAAAAUAUUAAGUAAUAAAAUUUUAAAUUAGGAUUUUGAUGUGUUGAAUAGUCAUGGAUGAAAGAUAUAAUAGAAUAGGAUGUAAUCUUGUAGGGAGGGAGUAGAAUGUUCUCUCUCGAGGGAAAAGACGUUCAAGAAUUGAUGAUGGAAGACAUACAAAUUAAAGACAAGUUGCAAAAUGGACUAUCAGUUAGUGAUGAUAAAUUUAAUUACAGAGAUAAGUUAAAGAAUUAUAACAUCAACUAAACAGGAUAUAAAAAAAAAAAAAAAAAAGAUUGAAUGAUCAUGAGAAUAGUAAUCAUGAAUUCGUAAUUAAUUUUAAGAACUUGUUUUAAAAGCAUAAGUAGACGAGACAAUUUCUUAACAAAGAAGAUGCCUCAGCUUCUUAGUCCAAACCAUCGACAUCUAAGAAGAUCAGCACAUCCAUGUGAAGUGCAUGUCUUCCUGAAUGGAAAUUAAGAGCUCUUCAGGUAGUGGUAAUAGCUCAUACGUUUUCUCAUUCCUUUCUUUGACUGACGUUCUCUUCCAAGUCAACUUAUGUUUGUUUAACUCAUAAUCAUUUUGGUCUUUUUUUUUAAAUUCAUUUUGCACAUCAACUUGUGUUCUCAAAGAAAUUAGAGUCACCUUUGGUCUUUUUUUAAUUCAUUUUCCAUGGAAGCUGAAUAUAUUUCUUCAUUUUUCUUGCCCCACUUCGUUUCUUUUUAAUUGUCCUUGUGAUACGUUGUUUCCAACUGAAAAAUACUUUAAAUUGCUUUUAAAGCAGUCGUUGAUGUCUACAGUGCAACUCCACUUAACCCACACUUCUUCUCAUUCCUUUCUUUGGCGGACAUCCUCCUCUUCCACAUCAACUUGUGUUACGGGGGAGAGACAUUAGAGUCAUAUCGGUCUUUUUUAAUUCAUUUUCCAUUGAAGCUAAACCGAUUUCUUGAUUUUUCUUGCCCGGCUUUGUUCUUUUUGUAUAGCAGUCGUUAAUGUCUACAGUGCAACUCUCCACUUACUCACUUUUUCUCGUUCGUUUCUUUGGCGGACAUCCUCUUCCACAUCAACUUGUGUUACGGGGGAGAGACAUUAGAGUCAUAUCGGUCUUUUUUAAUUCAUUUUCCAUUGAAGCUAAACCGAUUUCUUGAUUUUUCUUGCCCGGCUUUGUUCUUUUUGUAUAGCAGUCGUUAAUGGCCACAGUGCAACUCCACUUACUCACCUUUUCUCGUUCCUUUCUUUGGCCGACAUCCUCUUCCAAUAACUCAUAGUCAUUUAAAAUGACUCAUUUUUGUCCUUUUUUUAAACUCAUUUUCUGUGGAAGCUGAAUCUAUUAAUUAGAUUUGUUUCUUUUUAAUUGCAUUUGUUGUGUCUGUUGUUUCCAACCGCGAAACACCUUAAAUUGCUUUCGUAGCGGUCAUUAACGGCUACAAUACAACUCAUCUUAAUUUAUUUGUUUUUAUGUUUUGAAAGUAUUUUAGAAAAAAAUUAAAUUAAAUUUUAUUUUUUAUUUUAAAUUAAUUGUUUUUAAUAUUUUUAAAUUAUUUUAAUAUAAUAAUGUUAAAAAUAAAAAAUAUAUUUUUGAAAACAACAAUACCACUUAAUCUCAAGUGGUGAUAUUCUUGGAUGUUGAUAGAAAUGACUACGAAGCUGAGGCAUUAUACAAGUUGAGGCAUCUUCUUAAUCACAAUGAUGACUUGAAAGUUUUUAAUCCUUAAUUUCUCUGCUUUGAUCAAUAUAUCUUAUUUUUUAUUUUAUUUUUCUGCUAUGAUGUUGAAAUUAUACCACUACUUGUAAUACACAAGAGAUAUACACAAAUAAUAGAGACAGAAGAGUGAGAAUUAAAAACAAAGUCAGAAUUUUCUUAUUGAUUUUCUCUCUUUCAAUUCCUUUGUGUUUAUUAGGGGUGAUCAUUUUCGGUUCGGUUCGGUUUUUAUCAAAAAAAGUAACCAAACCGAAAUUUUUUUUUUUGAAAAAAAAACCGAAACCGAACCGAAACCGGGUCAAACCGGCCGGUUUCGGUUCGGUUUUUUUAGGGCAAAAACCGGUUCAAACCGAUUUGGCUCGGUUUUUCCGGUUUUGGCUCGGUUUUUUCCGGUUUAGCUCGGUUUUUCCGGUUUGGCUCGGUUUUGGCUCGGUUUUUCCGGAUUGGCUUGGUUUGGCUCGGUUUUUUUUCCGGUUUUUUGUUGGUUUCGGUUCGGUUCGGUUUUUUGUUUAUAAAACCGAAACCGAACCGAACCGGCCGGUUUUUUCAAAAAAUUAAUCGGUUUAAUCGGUUUUUUUUUUCGGUUCGGUUUUUUCGGUUAAUUUUUUUCCGGUUUUCUCGGUUUAAUCGGUUUUCCGGUUUUUUUGCUCACCCCUAGUGUUUAUAUAAAAAUAUUAUUAAUUAUACUUCAAGUAUUAUAAAAUAAUAAAAAAUAAAAGACACUAUAUCCAUCGAUCGACCUUGACUUAUAUAAUUAAUGACUUAAUUUUAAAUUUUCUUACAAUGUCUAUAUGGAAGUUGUGAAGUGAAUGGAUCCCCUGUGUGUUUAAGAAGAUGCCACAUGAAAAAAAUAAUUUUAAUGGUUCAGAUGCCUUAUUUAUCUUAUUAGAUUCUCUAUGAGUUUCAUGCUACAGACCACGCUAGCCAUUAGAAUCUCUCAUCCAAAAAUAAUUAUACGUGUAGGUUUUUUAAUGUAUUUUUAUACAUAAUUUUUUUAAUAUUAAUAUAUUAAAAUAAUCUAAAAACAUAUAAAUAAAUAAAUAAAAUUCAAUUUCUUUCUGAAAUACUUUUACACCACAGAAACCCACGGAAAAGGAAUGAGAAAACGUGUGGGCUAUUGAUGACUUUGAGAAAGACUGAAGCUCUAAAUAAUUUCCUUUGAGGAAGGCUUGCAGUACUUCACAUGCAAGCUGAGGCAUCUUCUUAAACACACUGAAAACUUUUAAAAAAAAAAAAUUAUUUAAAAGUAUAGGGAACGGACACUUAGAGGAUAUUUAUCUAGUGAAAUAGAGAUUGUUUUUUAAAAUGUAUUUUUUUUAAUAUAUUAAAAUAAUAUUUUUUUAAAAGUAUUUUUAAUAUUAGUACAUCAAAAUUAUCUAAAAACAUUAAAGAAAAAUUAAUUUAAAAUGAAAAAAAAUUUAAAAUAUUUUAAAAAAAUAAAAAUAAAUAUAUGAAAAAAAAACUAUAGGGAAAAAUUAAUAGUGUUUUGCGGUUAAGGCUAUAUACCACAUAAUAAGAUAAAUAAGGUUUCUGAAUAAUUAAAAUUAUUUUUUUUACGUGGCAUUUUUUUAAAUACACUACUGACCUAAUAAAAGAGUGAGAAAACAAAUCUAACACUUUCAGUUUUAUAAAAUAAUAAUAAUAAUAAUAAAAGAAAUUAUAUCCAUCGACCUUGACUUAUACAAUUAAUGAUUUAAUUUUAAAUUUUCUUAUAGUGUUUUUGAUAUUAUAAAUAGGGAAGUUGUGAAGUGAAUGGAUUCAAAGUUAAAUACCCGCCAAAUUCUCAUUGCUCUCAAUUAUUACUUCCAUACCCAAUUCGAUAUUAUCUUUUUUUGUGAUCACGCUGCUGAUAAAGCACGACAAGUCGUUUCAUCAUCUUUAUGUGCUCGUUGUGCUUCUGUUGCUCAUGAAACUUGCACCUGGGUUCAUUUCUGGAGUGAAAGGGGCAACUUUCGGGUGCAUAGAGAGGGAGAGACAAGCCCUUCUCAAGUUUAAAGAAGACCUUAUUGAUAACUUUGGUCUUCUUUCAACAUGGGGAAGUGAAGAAGAGAAGAGGGAUUGCUGCAAAUGGAGAGGAGUUGGUUGCAACAAUCGCACUGGUCAUGUUACUCAUCUUGAUCUUCAUCGGGAGAAUGAAUAUUUAGCAGGUAAGAUCAGUAAUUCAUUACUGGAGUUG
rnacentral:lncRNA from 1 species